GACGAACGCUGGCGGCGUGCUUAACACAUGCAAGUCGAACGGUGAAGUGCUUGCCUUUUUGGUGGGUGUGGAUGAGUGGCGAACGGGUGAGUAACACGUGAGUAACCUGCCCUCUUCUUCUGGAUAACCUCAUGAAAGUGGGGCUAAUACGGGGUAUUCCGGGUCUGUCGCAUGGCGGGUUUGGGAAAGAUUGCGCCUUUGGGUGUUUUCGGUGGGGGAUGGGCUCGCGGCCUAUCAGCUUGUUGGUGGGGUGAUGGCCUACCAAGGCGGUGACGGGUAGCCGGCCUGAGAGGGUGGACGGCCACACUGGGACUGAGACACGGCCCAGACUCCUGCGGGAGGCAGCAGUGGGGAAUAUUGCACAAUGGGCGCAAGCCUGAUGCAGCGACGCCGCGUGAGGGAUGGAGGCCUUCGGGUUGUGAACCUCUUUCGCCAGUGAAGCAGGCCUGCUCCUGUGUGGGUGGGUUGACGGUAGCUGGAGAAGAAGCGCCGGCUAACUACGUG
rnacentral:rRNA from 1 species